rnacentral:lncRNA from 1 species
GGCCAUCUAUGUCAAAUGAUGCAAUCCAACCAUCAAGCAAGAAGGUCAAGUUCAGAAAGAGCAGAGCUGUGCUCAAAUUCAUCAGGAUUUUGGAAGGAUAAUCUCUUCUUAGCUUCUCAAAUGCAAUGUAUGUCAGAAGAGUUGCAGCUGAAAAUAUAGCCGAUAUCCCACAGCCUAUGUAAGUGAUGAAUGUGAGGAUUUUGGUAUUCUGUGCAUCUAUUUCUGUAGCGGUUCCCUGAAGGUCCAUGAGUACCCCAAAAUGUGUGAGGUGGUUGCACAAGCAAACCGUUUCAUUUUCAUUGGAGUCUGCUUGCACUUUGCAGCCCGUAGGGUUCCAGCCACCAUUGCCACCAUUCUUGGCCAUAUCCCAGAAGACACAGGUAGGCUUAGGAUCUUCUUGAAUUUUGGUAUGUUUAAUUGUAAUCUUCACAUAUUCCUGAAGAUCUCGAAUAGUUAUGUUUCCAAUACUGCAUGCCAC